rnacentral:rRNA from 1 species
AACCCGGGUGAAAGCCUGGGUGCCCGCGAGGGAGCCCUAGCACAGGUGCUGCAUGGCCGUCGUCAGCUCGUGCCGUGAGGUGUUGGGUUAAGUCCCGCAACGAGCGCAACCCCCGCCGUUAGUUGCCAGCGGUUCGGCCGGGCACUCUAACGGGACUGCCCGCGAAAGCGGGAGGAAGGAGGGGACGACGUCUGGUCAGCAUGGCCCUUACGGCCUGGGCGACACACGUGCUACAAUGCCCACUACAAAGCGAUGCCACCCGGCAACGGGGAGCUAAUCGCAAAAAGGUGGGCCCAGUUCGGAUUGGGGUCUGCAACCCGACCCCAUGAAGCCGGAAUCGCUAGUAAUCGCGGAUCAGCCAUGCCGCGGUGAAUACGUUCCCGGGCCUU